GUGCCAGCCGCCGCGGUAAUACGAAGGGGGCUAGCGUUGUUCGGAAUAACUGGGCGUAAAGCGCACGUAGGCGGACUAUUAAGUCGGGGGUGAAAUCCCGGGGCUCAACCCCGGAACUGCCUUCGAUACUGGCAGUCUAGAGUUCUGGAGAGGUGAGUGGAAUUCCGAGUGUAGAGGUGAAAUUCGUAGAUAUUCGGAGGAACACCAGUGGCGAAGGCGGCUCACUGGCCAGAUACUGACGCGGAGGUGCGAAAGCGUGGGGAGCAAACAGGAUUAGAUACCCUUGUAGUCCACGCCCUAAACGAUGAAUGCCAGACGUCGGGCAGCUUGCUGUUCGGUGUCGCACCUAACGGAUUAAGCAUUCCGCCUGGGGAGUACGGCCGCAAGGUUAAAACUCAAAUGAAUUGACGGGG
rnacentral:rRNA from 1 species